UUUAUAAACAUUCAGAAUCUAUCUAAAAGCUUUAUUCCCAUUCAUCUGAUAAAAUUAAAAAUACAUACAUACCAAAUAGCAAAGUGGAAAUUUUUUGCAAAGGAGAUACAAGUAUUUUUAAAUUAAUAAAUACUAAAGUGAAAAAAAAUAAGUCCUCUUACAGACCUGUAAAGAAAGGAUACGUAACUUCAUACCAAAAGAAAUAGUCAAAUUACUGCUUUUAGAAAAAUCAGAGUUAGUUGUACUAAAAUUCAUAGAUGAGCUUGGAGAGUCUAUACACUUUCUUCCCUUAAUUUUAGAAAAUGCCCUAAAAAGCAAUAGACUCUCUUCUUUAAGCCGAGGGCACCCAUCAAUUACUAAGCUGUCAUAUUGUUA